ACUUUUAUUAACCAUUAAAUAAAUAUAAAUAAAUAUAUGUAUUUCUUACUUAUUUAAUUAUUACUUGUCGUGUAUAGAUUUCCCAUUUGCUGCAAUAUUAAUUUAGGCGUAUAAAAAUAUAUGAAAGAAACAUAAGAUGAGAAAAAUACAGCUAGCUGUUGAUGUUGUAUCAGGUUGGUCGGUUAAAUAUGAUCAUUUAAAUGAGAAAAUGUAUACUCGUGCAACUGAAUACAUGUAAACUCGAGAAAAUGAAUACUCAUGCAAAUGUAUACUCGUGCAAUCUGGUGUUAUAACAUCAUAACCACAUCGACGGCCAACUCUAAAAUCACCUUAUUUUGUUUGGCAGUGUUCUGGAAUUAAGUUAUGGCAAUAUUUUAUGUAUGAAAUGUAACAAUUACAUUAAAAAAGUGCUUAUUUCUGACAAAAACUUGUAUUUUCUUAAGGC
rnacentral:lncRNA from 1 species